AGUGGCGGACGGGUGAGUAACGCGUGAGAAUCUGCCUUCAGGUCGGGGACAACAGAGGGAAACUUCUGCUAAUCCCGGAUGAGCCUUAGGGUAAAAAAUUUAUUGCCUGGAGAUGAGCUCGCGUCUGAUUAGCUAGUUGGUAAGGUAAAAGCUUACCAAGGCAACGAUCAGUAGCCGGUCUGAGAGGAUGAGCAGCCACACUGGGACUGAGACACGGCCCAGACUCCUACGGGAGGCAGCAGUGGGGAAUUUUCCGCAAUGGGCGAAAGCCUGACGGAGCAAGACCGCGUGGGGGAGGAAGGCUCUAGGGUUGUAAACCCCUUUUCUUUGGGAAGAACAAAAUGACGGUACCAAAGGAAUCAGCCUCGGCUAACUCCGUGCCAGCAGCCGCGGUAAUACGGAGGAGGCAAGCGUUAUCCGGAAUGAUUGGGCGUAAAGCGUCCGCAGGUGGCAAUGUAAGUCUGCUGUCAAAACCCAGGGCUCAACUCUGGUCAGGCAGUGGAAACUACAUAGCUAGAGUUCGGUAGGGGCAAAGGGAAUUCCCGGUGUAGCGGUGAAAUGCGUAGAGAUCGGGAAGAACAUCGGUGGCGAAAGCGCUUUGCUAGACCGAAACUGACACUCAGGGACGAAAGCUAGGGGAGCGAAUGGGAUUAGAUACCCC
rnacentral:rRNA from 1 species